CAUCAUCAAUCUGUUGCGGGCAAAUAAAGUGAAUGUGACUGUCAAAACCGCCUGCAGUGAUGAUACGGCCCUCGCCUGCGAUCACUUCGGUUCCGGGGCCAACAAUAAUGUCUACAUUCGGUUGGGUGUCGGGGUUGCCCGCUUUACCAAUCCCAGCAAUGCGCCCACUUUUGAGGCCGAUAUCGGCUUUGUAAAUCCCGGUUGUGUCAACGAUCAAAGCGUUGGUUAUCACCGUGUCAACAGACCCUUGGGCGCGCGACAAUUGCGAUUGCCCCAUGCCAUCACGAAUG
rnacentral:sRNA from 1 species